rnacentral:rRNA from 1 species
GACGAACGCUGGCGGCGUGCCUAAUACAUGCAAGUUGAGCGCUGAAGGUUGGUACUUGUACCGACUGGAUGAGCAGCGAACGGGUGAGUAACGCGUGGGGAAUCUGCCUUUGAGCGGGGGACAACAUUUGGAAACGAAUGCUAAUACCGCAUAAAAACUUUAAACACAAGUUUUAAGUUUGAAAGAUGCAAUUGCAUCACUCAAAGAUGAUCCCGCGUUGUAUUAGCUAGUUGGUGAGGUAAAGGCUCACCAAGGCGAUGAUACAUAGCCGACCUGAGAGGGUGAUCGGCCACAUUGGGACUGAGACACGGCCCAAACUACUACGGGAGGCAGCAGGAGGGAAUCUUCGGCAAUGGACGAAAGUCUGACAGAGCAACGCCGCGUGAGUGAAGAAGGUUUUCGGAUCGUAAAACUCUGUUGGUAGAGAAGAACGUUGGUGAGAGUGGAAAGCUCAUCAAGUGACGGUAACUACCCAGAAAGGGACGGCUAACUACGUG